GUUGACGUAUUUUGAUGUUUAACCCAAGAGAUUGAUUGAUUAUUUUGAUGUUUAGUUUAAAAAAAUUGACGUUUGAGCAAUAUUUUUUCAAUACGCACAAAUUAAAGAAAAAGUGCACAAAAUAAUAGAAAAUGGAAAUGGAAGUAUUCGUGGACGUAAAACAACAAUUUUACAUAUUUUUUUAAUAAAACAACCAAGUGGAUUUGUAUGGCAUAUAGAAAAACGAAAUAUGUUUAAAAUUGAAAAUAUACAAAGAUAUAUUCAACAGUAACUUUAUAUUGCUACUAUUUCUAAAACACAGUUCAUGCAGUGGUUAACUAUUUUAUUGCAUUACCGAAUUUUGGUAUUAGCUAAUAUUAUAAACUCUUGGUCGUAAAUCCUAAACUUCAAUCAAUAAAUCAAUCUUGAUACUGAUAUACUGAAGCCAAAGUCGGGCACUUGAAGCGUUUUUACUCCAACAUGGAUUGGUCAACAUGUUCACCGGAUAUCAUUUUAUUGAUAUUUAAAUACUUGGAUCACAAAUCGCUUGUGAAUUGUCUCUCUGUAUGCAAGUCAUGGAGAGAUGUAGCGGAUUAUCAUGCAGAGGUUAAAGGAAUAUGGCCUGAGCUAGCACAACUGGCCAUGUACAAUAAAGGUUUUGCAUUUAAACAGAGGUCUAUUCUUCCUUGGCGAGACCUGUACUUUAAUAACCAGCUCUGGAACAAUAGGAAUGUUCAUUUUCAAGUUGAUAAAAUUAUGGAAUUGGUUCAAUGUAAGCACAUGCAUGUGUUUGAAGAUAAUAUAAUUAUUAUUGUUGAUUCUGGUAUGAUACAAUACAAAGUUGAUACAUUGGAACAAAUUUUGGAAGAAAAGUGUGUUUUAGACUAUCAAAAAACUCAUUGUAUAAUAGGAAAAUUGGCUGAGGGAAAUAUAUUGUCUGUAAAAAUGGGAAAUAUACAAAAAGAUUUUUGUAUUAUUUGCCAUAGUUUCAUAUUAAUAAAUGAUCACUGUUUAGCAAUAGAGGCGGGUAAUAUAUUCACCGUUAUACGAUGCUGUUCUUCUAUGCCAAUUGAUAAAUCAAUUAGAUUUAAAAAAGCAGCCUCACUGCAUCUCUACAGUGCCCUUGGAACUAUCCGUAGCGCAAACGUUGAUAAUGAUAUUAUUUACGUGGUAAAUAAAGAAGGGAGAAUUUUAAAGUUAAAGGAUAUGGAUUUCUUAGGUAAAACAUUGGGCAAAAUAAGUUUUCCGCGCAACGAUAGCCCACUAGUUGUGUGCAUGUUUCUAAAUUUCAGUGUGAUUUAUAGUGAUUAGUAGACGAUCGUUGUUUUACAAUAGAUCUACAUAAUGUAUUAAGUUUGAUUAAAAUGGAUGGAAAUAAUGUAAUGCAUUUUACAUUAAUGCGAAGCUAUGAUCCCUUGGGAUCGAUUUGUAGCAUAAAUAUUUAUAACGAUGAAGUUUACGUUUUGAAACGGAAGGGGAUUAUAAUACGAGUGGACUUUUGGUUCUUCACAGAGACAACUAUAGGCAAAAUAAAUUCACCACAUUUUUAUAAUAAUCCUUUAGCGAUGUGCUUGUUUCUAAAGCAUAGUGUUAUUUAUAGUGUUCGCAGUGAGGACGGAUCAAAAACAGUGAAAGUGUCAAAUAUCGGAGACACCGGAGAAAUAAUUGUAGAAUGUUCUGGACUGAGUUGCGUUACACCGCACGGUGAUAUACUGCUUUUAGGAUAUGAAGAUGGCGAGGUUCGUGCUUAUUUACCAAAGAAAAUGUUGAUUACAAAGGAACCACUUUUUACAUUUAACAUCAAGGAUCUCGUUAUGUCUACUCUUAAGGAUGCUGCUAUAAAAGCAAUAGAGGUUUAUGAAGCGAAAGAAUCGCAUUAUUUGUUUAUAGCGACACGACACGAAUUCAUCAAAGUGAUUGUUACUUAUGACAAUUAAUGAAAAAAGUUGAAGUAUCUAGUCCAUUAUAUUCCUAAACUUUUUUAUUUAUUUUUU